UACGUAGGGUGCAAGCGUUGUCCGGAAUUACUGGGCGUAAAGAGCUCGUAGGCGGUUUGUCGCGUCGUCUGUGAAAACCAGCAGCUCAACUGUUGGCUUGCAGGCGAUACGGGCAGACUUGAGUAUUUCAGGGGAGACUGGAAUUCCUGGUGUAGCGGUGAAAUGCGCAGAUAUCAGGAGGAACACCGGUGGCGAAGGCGGGGUCUCUGGGGAAAAUAACUGACGCUGAGGAGCGAAAGCGUGGGUAGCGAACAGG
rnacentral:rRNA from 1 species